CUUCCCGUCUGUCUUUUUUGGAUUGAGCUGAAUCCUACUGCUUUUUAUCCAUCUGCUUAUUUCUUCCAGGCAUUGGCGACAGCUGAAAGCACAUCAGCAGAGACAGCGAUGAACAGACAAGUGCUGUCUGCUUAUUGAUUGUGUGUUAUUCGACUUUAGACUCAGUCUUCCUGUGGGGUCCCAGAAACACAUGGAAUAGGAAAAGUGGGAAUACAAAGACUUUGGGGACAAAGGAGCAGCUGACUUCAGUGACCUGUAGAUGUCACGGCAAUUAUUCCUGCUGGGUGCUGCGGGGAUGCCAUCACCAUGCUAAGAGCUCAUUUCUGUCCUGUGCUCCUAACCGCCCGUCAUCACUCCGGAACAUCUGCAGAGUUUUUCCAGGGCCCAUAUCUCUCAGCGAGCAUCUCCAGCUGAUGUGCUCUGCCUGCGCGUUCUUGGCUCCCUCCGAAUGGCAUCGGCACCAGAGCCCAGACUGGUAACUCGUCCAUCGCAUAAAUGUUACCUCCAGGCUACAGCAUUCAGUGGAGUGUGAAAUCACAAUUAACGGAGCAAGUGUUUUGUAAGUGAACAGAGACUGCUGCAAAUUACAUCCUGCUAUUAGCUGAUUUCAGAACAACACUGUUGAGCAGCUUCAUGAUUACUGGGCUGUGGCGUGUAUUAAAAAAACA
rnacentral:lncRNA from 1 species